CUUAGUUCAUAAGUAAAUUAUGGUUAGUUUUCAAUUCAUGAGUAAAGGAUGGUUAGUUCUCAGUUCGUAAGUAAAGGAUGGUUAGUUCUUAGUUCAUAAGUAAAUUAUGGUUAGUUUUCAAUUCAUGAGUAAAGGAUGGUUAGUUCUCAGUUCAUAAGCAAAGAAUGGUUAGUUUCUCAGUUAAUAAGUAAAGGAUGGUUAGUUCUCAGUUCAUGAGUAAAGGAUGGUUAGUUCUCAGUUCAUGAGUAAAGGAUGGUUAUUUCUCAGUUAAUAAGUAAAGGAUGGUUAGUUCUCAGUUCAUGAGUAAAGGAUGGUUAGUUCUCAGUUCAUAAGUAAAGGAUGAUUAGUUCUCAGUUCAUGAGUAAAGGAUGGUUAGUUCUCAGUUCAUAAGUAAAGGAUGAUUAGUUCUCAGUUCAUGAGUAAAGGAUGGUUAGUUCUCAGUUCAUGAGUAAAGGAUGGUUAGUUCUCAGUUCAUAAGUAAAGGAUGAUUAGUUCUCAGUUCAUGAGUAAAGGAUGGUUAGUUCUCAGUUCAUGAGUAAAGGAUGGUUAGUUCUCAGUUCAUAAGUAAAGGAUGGUUAGUUCUCAGUUCAUAAGUAAAGGAUGGUUAGUUCUCAGUUCAUGAGUAAAGGAUGAUUAGUUCUCAGUUCGUAAGUAAAGGAUGGUUAGUUGUCAGUUCAUAAGUAAAGGAUGGUUAGUUCUCAGUUCAUGGAUUACAACGUUAUACGCGUUAGUGAGAAAGUAUCAAGCAACAUUUCAUGCAUAAUGAUACAGAAACAUAGCAUUUUAUAAUUGUAAGAAAGUGACAGCAGGGUACUAGAGGUAAUCAUCUUCUACACACCUAAAUGUAUAGUUCAUAAAUACGGCAUGUACAGAUUUUUUGUAUGAAUCUUUUGUAUGAUAGCUGACUAAUAAUCAGAGUAAAUUCUGUGUGAUAGCUAAAGGCCAGAGCAAAUGUUGAUUGCACUUGCUUGACAGAUGUGUAUUAAAGUACACAACAAAAAUAUAAACGCAACAUGUAAAGUGUUGGUCCCAUGUUUCAUGAGCUGAAAUAAAA
ensembl:lncRNA